rnacentral:lncRNA from 1 species
AGAGGAGGGACCCGGCCUAGCCGGUGGUUCAGGUGGCCGGUCGGGCUGGAAGGGCGGGGAUGAGGGAUGGGACGCAUCCCCGGGGGAUGCUCCUCCAAAGCUUUUAUCGGGCGAGCGCAGUGGCUCACGCCUGUAAUUCCUGCACUUUGGGAGGCUAAGGGUCUCACUCUAUUGUCUAGGCUCGAAUGCAGUGACGUGAUCAUGGAUCACUGCAGUCCUCAACUUACUGGGCUCAGGAUGAAAGGCUUCCUAGCACAAACACCACCCCUGGAGUUCCCGGUACAUCAAUACCAGCCUGGGGAUCACGUUCUCAUCAAGAGUUGGAAGAGGGAAAGCUUGAACCAGCUUAGGAGGACCUCAUCUGGUACUCUUGAUGAAUGAAACAGCAAUCUGAAUGGCUGAAAAAGGAUGGACCCAGCACUCCAGGGAGAAAACUUGGCAUUCUUUGGGAAUCUAACAGGAUGCAGUGAACCCAAGCCUUUUGAAGAGCUCACCAAUCAGACUGCCCUUGUCUAUCCAUGAGCAGAUGUUUGAUAGUAUUGCGGAGGCCCUCUAGUGGGUAUGCUGCCAAGCAACUGGAGUGGCACUUGGGCUCUAAUCCAGUUGUCUAUCCCUUUCACCCUGGCAUUUCAUCAGCCAAACAAAAACCAACUAACUCAGAAAAAAAGGAAAGCCCCUCAAGGGUCCUUUGACCCCGAUAUCUACAUAGAUGCUAUCGGGGUCCCCUGAGGGGUACCAAACGAAUUCAAAGCUCGAAAUCAAAUAGCUGCUGGAUUCAAGUCUGUCCUUUUCUUGUGGUCUACUAUAAAUAAAAAUGUAGACUGGAUAAAUUACAUAUACUAUAACCAACAACGAUUUGUCAGUUACACCAGGGAUGCCAUUAAAGGAAUAGCUGAACAAUUGGGUUUCACCAGCCAAAUGGCCUGGGAAAAUAGAAUAGCUCUUGACAUGAUAUUAGUGGAAGUCCAAUGUUGUACCUGUAUCCCCAAUAAUACAGCCCCUGAUGUAACUAUCACUAAGGGUCUAUAAGGCCUCACCACUCUAGGAAAUGAACUAGCUGAAAAUUCGGGAAUGAAUGAUCCCUUUACAGGUGUAAUGGAAAAAAUGGUUUGGUAGAUGGAAAGGACUAAUGGCCUCUAUUCUCACCUCCCUUGUGAUCAUAAUAGGGGUGCUCAUUCUCUUAGGGUGCUGUAUUAUACCCUGUGUCUGCGGACUAGUUCAAAAGCUCAUAGAAACAGCCCUUACCAAGACCUCCCACAACUCUCCCCCACCCUAUUCAGAUAAACGUUUAUUUCUAAGCAACCAAGAAGAGCAGUGAAGCCAGAUCCUGUUAGAAAUAUAUGAAGAGGAAGGACUACAAAAUCAAAAGGGGAAAAUUAUUAGACAAAAUGAGUUGCUCUACAAAGGUCCAACUUCGUUGUCCUUUGUUCUGUAACCUUUGUUCUGUAAACUGCCCUUCCCGCAGAAACUGUCUUUCCCGCCGACCAAAACUGCCCUUCACUAUCACUGUAAUCCAUACCCCUACUCUAUUUGAAACUGCCAAUCGGGAUCAGCUUACAUUGUGUGGUUCAACCACCAGCCAAUGAGGAAAAAACACAGAAGCAAAAGCUAUGAUGCAUUAGGGUUAAAAACCCCUUCCUUUCCCUGUCCAAUGUGCUCUUGAGACUGCUACAGGCGCAAGCAGCCACCUUCUGCAGAAGUAAACCUUGCCUUGCUGAGAAAUUUUUCUUUUGAGUGCUGGUCUCUCUCUGUGGCACCAAGAACUUAUUUCUAACAUGGAGUGAUUUCCAAGAUAGAUGGUUAAGUGAAAAUAAAAACUGUUGCCAGGCACGGUAGCUCAUGCCUGUAAUCCCAGCACUUUGGGAGUCUGAGGAGGUUGGAUUAUUUGAGGUCAGGAGUUUGAGACCAGCCUAGCCAACAUGGUGAAAUCCUGUCUCUUCUAAAUAUACAAAAAAUUAGCCGGGCGUGGUUGUGGGUGCCUGUAAUCCCAGCUACUUGGGAAGCUGAGGCAGAAGAAUUGCUUAAACCCAGGAAGCAGAGGUUGCAGUGAGCCGAGAUCACAGCACUGCACUCCAGCCUGGGUGAUAGAGUGAGACUCGGUCUCAAAAACAAUAAUAAUAAUAAUAAUAAUACAAAUAAAAAAAUGAAAAUAAAGGCCAGGUGCUGUGGCUCACCCCUCUAAUCCCAGCACUUUGGGAGGCUGAGGCAGGUGGAUCACAAGGUCAGGAGUUCAAAACCAGCCUGGCCAAGAUGGUGAAACCCCGUCUCUACUAAAAAUACAAAAAUUAGCUGGGCACAGUGGCAGGCGCCUGUAAUCCCAGCUACUUGGGAGGCUGAGGCAGGAUAAUUGCUUAAACCUGGGUGGCAGAGGUUGCAGUGAGCCAAGAUCAUGCCACUGCACUCCAGCCUGGGC